UACGAAGGGGGCUAGCGUUGCUCGGAAUCACUGGGCGUAAAGCGCACGUAGGCGGACUCUUAAGUCGGUGGUGAAAUCCUGGAGCUCAACUCCAGAACUGCCUUCGAUACUGAGAGUCUUGAGUCCGGGAGAGGUGAGUGGAACUGCGAGUGUAGAGGUGAAAUUCGUAGAUAUUCGCAAGAACACCAGUAGGCGAAGGCG
rnacentral:rRNA from 1 species